rnacentral:rRNA from 1 species
AUACGAAGGGGGCAAGCGUUGUUCGGAAUAACUGGGCGUAAAGCGCACGUAGGCGGAAUGUUAAGUUAGAGGUGAAAUCCCAGGGCUCAACCCUGGAACUGCCUUUAAUACUGGCAAUCUAGAGUCCGGGAGAGGUGAGUGGAAUUCCGAGUGUAGAGGUGAAAUUCGUAGAUAUUCGGAGGAACACCAGUGGCGAAGGCGACUCACUGGCCCGGUACUGACGCUGAGGUGCGAAAGCGUGGGGAGCAAACAGGAUUAGAAACCCUAGUAGUCC